rnacentral:rRNA from 1 species
CUACGGGAUGCUGCAGUGAGGAAUUUUGCGCAAUGGGGGAAACCCUGACGCAGCAACGCCGCGUGAGCGAAGAAGGCCCUCGGGUCGUAAAGCUCUGUCAAGUGGGAAAAAAAUCUUUUGAUCAAUAGUCAAAAGACUUGAUGGUACCACUGGAGGAAGCACCGGCUAACUCCGUGCCAGCAGCCGCGGUAAUACGGAGGGUGCAAGCGUUGUUCGGAUUUACUGGGCGUAAAGAGCGUGUAGGCGGUUUAGCAAGUCAGAUGUGAAAGCCCUGGGCUCAACCCGGGAAGUGCAUUUGAAACUGCUUCACUAGAGUAUGGGAGAGGAGAUUGGAAUUCCUGGUGUAGAGGUGAAAUUCGUAGAUAUCAGGAGGAACACCCGUGGCGAAGGCGAUUCUCUGGACCAAUACUGACGCUGAGACGCGAAAGCGUGGGGAGCAAACAGGAUUAGAUACCCGCGUAGUC